GACGAACGCUGGCGGCGUGCCUAAUACAUGCAAGUUGAGCGCUGAAGGUUGGUACUUGUACCAACUGGAUGAGCAGCGAACGGGUGAGUAACGCGUGGGGAAUCUGCCUUUGAGCGGGGGACAACAUUUGGAAACGAAUGCUAAUACCGCAUAAAAACUUUAAACACAAGUUUUAAGUUUGAAAGAUGCAAUUGCAUCACUCAAAGAUGAUCCCGCGUUGUAUUAGCUAGUUGGUGAGGUAAAGGCUCACCAAGGCGAUGAUACAUAGCCGACCUGAGAGGGUGAUCGGCCACAUUGAGAAUGAGACACGGCCCAAACUCCUACGGGAGGCAGCAGUAGGGAAUCUUCGGCAAUGGACGAAAGUCUGACCGAGCAACGCCGCGUGAGUGAAGAAGGUUUUCGGAUCGUAAAACUCUGUUGGUAGAGAAGAACGUUGGUGAGAGUGGAAAGCUCAUCAAGUGACGGUAACUACCCAGAAAGGGACGGCUAACUACGUG
rnacentral:rRNA from 1 species